rnacentral:tmRNA from 1 species
CCUCUCGCAAUUUGGCGCGCUCCGGCCUAUAUCCGGAGCGCUCGCCUUCGGGCGGCUAUGGCGAUAAACGGCAUGUGGAAUAAGCGUUGCGGACCCGGGGGCAGUGCCCGGCGUCUCCACCAGCUUCAGGCGCCUGGAAUCGUCGGGUGCGCUUCUGGGGACGAAACAGGCUCGACGCGCGUGGUAAAGCCAUGUCUUUUGCCCGGCAUUGUACCGCCGUUAUCGGGCUAAAUCACAAGUGCCAACGAUAAUGGUCGCGAGACCAUGGCGCUCGCUGCCUAACCAUAGGUAAGCGCGGUCCGGGGGGAACCGGGCAACAGAAUCCCCCCACU